UACGUAGGUGGCAAGCGUUAUCCGGAUUUAUUGGGUGUAAAGGGCGUGUAGGCGGGAAUGCAAGUCAGAUGUGAAAACUAUGGGCUCAACCCAUAGCCCGCAUUUGAAACUGUAUUUCUUGAGUGCUGGAGAGGCAAUCGGAAUUCCGUGUGUAGCGGUGAAAUGCGUAGAUAUACGGAGGAACACCAGUGGCGAAGGCGGAUUGCUGGACAGUAACUGACGCUGAGGCGCGAAAGCGUGGGGAGCAAACAGG
rnacentral:rRNA from 1 species